CUACGGGGGGCUGCAGUCGGGGAUUUUUUGCAAUGCACGCAAGUGUGACAAAGCGAGCCAGAGUGUUUCUCACUUUGAGAAACUUUUGCCUGCUGCAAAAAGGCAGGCGAAUAAGGACUGGGAAAGAUCGGUGCCAGCCGCCGCGGUAAUACCGACAGUCCAAGUCGCAGCCGCUUUUAUUGGGUCUAGAACAUCCGUAGCUUGCUAUGAGAGUUUCUUGUGAAAUCUUAAUUCUUAAGAUUAAGGCGCGCAAGAAGUACUUCAUAGCUAGAGACCGGAAGACGUAAGAAGUACGGCCGGGGUAGUGGUAAAAUACGUUAAUCCUGGUUGGACUAACAAUCGCGAAGGCAUCUUACGAGGACGGUUCUGACAGUCAGGGAUGAAGGCUAGGGGCGCAAAAAGGAUUAGAUACCCGAGUAGUC
rnacentral:rRNA from 1 species